rnacentral:tRNA from 1 species
GCGCCCGUAGCUCAGUUGGAUAGAGUGUUGGUUUCCGAAGCCAAAGGUCACAAGUUCGAUUCUUGUCGGGCGCGCCA